GACGAACGCUGGCGGCGUGCUUAACACAUGCAAGUCGAACGGAAAGGCCCCUUUCGGGGGGUACUCGAGUGGCGAACGGGUGAGUAACACGUGAGUAACCUGCCCUUGACUUUGGGAUAACUUCAGGAAACUGGGGCUAAUACCGGAUAGGAGCUCCUGCUGCAUGGUGGGGGUUGGAAAGUUUCGGCGGUUGGGGAUGGACUCGCGGCUUAUCAGCUUGUUGGUGGGGUAGUGGCUUACCAAGGCUUUGACGGGUAGCCGGCCUGAGAGGGUGACCGGCCACAUUGGGACUGAGAUACGGCCCAGACUCCUACGGGAGGCAGCAGUGGGGAAUAUUGCACAAUGGGUGGAAGCCUGAUGCAGCAACGCCGUGUGCGGGAUGACGGCCUUCGGGUUGUAAACCGCUUUCGCUCAUGACGAAGCUUUGUGUGACGGUAGUGGGUAAAGAAGCACCGGCUAACUACGUG
rnacentral:rRNA from 1 species